CCCCCAGCGCCCCCGGGUCCCAGCCGACGAGCUCUGCUCGUUGACCCGGGUGAAGCCCCCGGGGGCACAGCUCACCUGUUUGUAGGCAUCGAGCAGGAAGCUCUUCCAGACGCAGCGCAGUCCCUCUGAGGUCAGCAUGCGCCUCCACUCUCCGCGAGUGGACUUGGAGCGGCUCAGCAGCAGAACCACGUGCUUGAGCAGAAUGACCGAGUCAUAGAGCGCCAGAAAGAGGCAGUUGGAGAAAAAAACUGGCAGAAUUUGCAGUGUGAUCAGCAAGUCUAUGCUGAGGAUACCCAUCUUCUCUGCCUCCUUAGUCAGUCCCCUUGUGCGCUCUGGUUCCCCUUCACCCUCUUAUUUAAAAGAGGGGUGGUGAUGGGGGGUGGGGGAGGUAAGGAGGAAGGUUGGGGGUGGGGGGGGGAGAAGGAGAAAAACUAAAUUAAAAGGAAGCCCAAGUUGUCUCCUCUUUCAAAGAAGCAGAAAUGGCACGACCAAGUUCAGUCUCCAGCCCAGCAGUUGGAGUGUGCCCAUCAAUUCAUUCAAUUCGGAGCUGCUGCCUUUUUUUUUUUUUUUUUUUUUUUUUGCAGGAUUUAAGAUGUUAAAAAAAAAAAAAGAAAGAAAGAAACUGGCGCACCCGUCCCUAAUCCAGUUACCCCUGUCAGAGUCCGUUAAAGACACGUUGUUCUACUUUCAUUUCCAAGCACCUAUGAGACUGUGGAAGAGACUGCAAAAUUUUCCUUAGCUUUUCAUUGUCUCUAUGUUCUUUAAACGUAGCCUGUUCCUUUCUUGAACUGCUAGAGUUUUAAAAAUGUGUUUUAGUGGUAGUUUUUUUUCUUUCUUUACUCCGUUUUAUACACUCUUUCUGUUCCUUUUCUCCCAGCCUGUCUCACUCUCUCCCUUCUCCUGGAGCGACUGGGUCCUGCGCUCACUCCGUCUGGCUUCUCCUUCCUGCUAUCUGUCUGUGUGCAGAGUGCCUCCCUCUACAGCCCACACGUAGAACCAGGAGUGGCAUCUAUUCCCCUCACUAAGGAGGUUCUGAACGAACAGACGAAAGAACGAAUGAACGCACAAGCACGUGGAGGGCCUAUGCUUUACCCCACUCUGGGGGCACUAUUCACAUACAAUACCACGGAAAGGGGAGCGGCCUGGAACUGUAAAACAUGGGGGCUUGUGCAUGGCCCUUCCCGGUGACACAGCCCUCACAAUCUGAUGCCUUGAUUUUUAUCAUCAGCUUAGUCCAUUCUAAGUAUUACAUUUACAGCUCACGGAGUAAAUUUUUAGAGAAGACUUCAGAAGCUGGAAAAGUUAACAUAAAUCACAUGAGAAAGUUGCCCUAGGAUGAGCACAUGUUGUAA
rnacentral:lncRNA from 1 species